GCAACAUUGAGACUCCUAUCUUAAAAAAAAAUUCUAGCUCUCUAGCCUACAGCCUGUGUCUAUGGUUGGGCCGUCUGCGUCCAGCUGCCUGGGACAGAGAUCGGGUGUAUGGGGCCGCAGGAACUGGCUCCAGGGCCCCCAUAACGGGCCACCCCGCAGCACCCCGGCCUGGCGUGAGGGUGUCCCUUGAUCUGAGAAUGGCUACCUCUCGAUAUGAGCCAGUGGCUGAAAUUGGUGUCGGUGCCUAUGGGACAGUAUACAAGACCUGUGAUCUGCACAGUGGCCACUUUGUGGCCCUCAAGAUGUGAGAGUCCCCAGUGGAGGAGCUGGAGGAGGACUUCCCAUCAGCACAGUUUGUGAGGUGGCCUUACUGAAGUGACUGGAGGCUUUUGAGCAUCCCAACAUUGCCUGGCUGAUGGAUGUCUGUGCCACAUCCCGAACUGACCGAGAGGUCAAGGUAACCCUGGUGUUUGAGCACGUAGACCAAGAUCUAAGAACGUAUCUGGACAAGGCACCCCCACCAGGCUUGUCAGCCGAGACCAUCAAGGAUCUGAUGCACCAGUUUCUAAGAGGCCUAGAUUUUCUUCAUGCCAAUUGCAUCGUUCGCCGAGAUCUGAAGUCAGAGAACAUUCUGGUGACAAGUGGUGGAAGAGUCAAGCUUGCUGUCUUUGGCCUGGCCAGAAUCUACAGCUACCAGAUGGCACUUACACCCAUGGUUGUUACACUCUGGUACCGAGCUCCUGAAGUUCUUCUGCAGUCCACAUAUGCAAUACCUGUGGACAUGUGGAGUGUUGGCUGUAUCUUUGCUGAGAUAUUUCGUUGAAAGCCUCUCUUCUGCGGAAACUCUGAAGCUGACCAGUUGGGCAAAAUCUCUGACCUGAUUGGGCUGUCUACAGAGGAUGACUGGCCUCGAGAUGUAUCUCUGCCCCAUGGAGUCUUUCACCCCAGAGGGCCCCACCCAGUGCAGUCGGUGGCACCUGAGAUGGAGGAGUUGGGAGCACAUCUGCUGCUGGAAAUGCAGACUUUUAACCGACAUAAGCCAAUCUCUGCCUUUCGAGCUCUGCAACACUCUUAUCUACAUAAGGAAGAAGGUAAUCCUGAGUGAGCAAUGAAGUGGCUGCCAUGGAAGGAAGAAAAGCUGUCGUUUCCCUUCUGGACACUGAGAGGGCAGUCUCUCCCUUCGUCUCUGAGGCUGUGGAGGCUCCACCUCCAUCUUUCUACAGAGAUUACUUUGCUG